ACGGUCGGUAGCGGCCCGCGCGCGCCGCCCGCCGGGGGCUUGCGCCAGCCACCAGGCAGUGUCCGCCGCCCGCGCGCUCGCGCGCUCGCGCGGCGGAGGAGAGCUCAUGAUUUCCUGGAAGCUGGCUGUCCAUCAAUGGUGUAUAUAAGAUGUGUUAUAAGUAUGAUGCUUCCAUAAUACAUUUGGAUGUUUUCAGCUAAGUUCACUUCUGAACGAUGGGGUUCCUCCAAAUGUUGGCUGAAAUUUGUCCUUGCAUAUCCCCAAGCUCAUCUGCAAAGUCUACAGUUCAUAAUGGAGCUACUAUACUGGCUAUCGGAAGGAGGAGAUUCGGAAGAUAGGGAGAUUCAGCUGUCGGGCUUUGAAACUUCCUGUGGUCUGUUCAAUCUAGAUGCAAAGGACCUGGAACAGUCAAGUGCUCAAGAGGUUUAAAUUGUUUUGGAUAUUCCUAUUUAUAGACAAAAAUAUUUUUCCAAUUCAGAUCCUCAGUUGUUAUGCAAAAGAAGGUCAUGCUCUUCUUCAUCAUCCAUUUUAUUUGAAAUGAUUAGUAUUGUAGAGUAUCACCAAACAUUUUCUCUUUGAAUCAAAGUAUAGAAAAAAUAAAAUCAAUUCUAUA